GGAGGAAGGGAGCAUGAAAAGUGGAAAUGGAGGGGGAAGGGCAGUGGCAGCUUCUGAAAGGCUAGUUUAUGCUGAAUAAGUGUUUUUGUGCAAAGCUGUGACGUGAUCCAUGACAGGAAACCUACUCUCAUGGGUAUACCCAAACCAGUUUCUCAAAAUGUGGCCAAGAAGACCUCUGAUGAUCACCAAUGGUGUCAGCAAACAUGUGGCAAUUUAGAGCAAAAGAUAAUGAAACUACCUUGUUGACUUUCAUUUCACAAAUCUCCUUCACUUAUUCCCUCUGCCAUCUGGAGCGCCUGAGCUCCAAGCAUGACCUGGGAGGGAAAGAGAGACGGAGGGCAAAACCUUGGAGGUGGCAUCCAUUACUUCCAGCCACAUCUCACUCGCCAGAAACCAGUCAGAGGACAAUCAGAACUGCAAGAAAGCAUAUGAA